rnacentral:rRNA from 1 species
AGAGUUUGAUCCUGGCUCAGGAUGAACGCUGGCGGCGUGCCUAAUACAUGCAAGUCGAACGCUUUGUGGUUCAACUGAUUUGAAGAGCUUGCUCAGAUAUGACGAUGGACAUUGCAAAGAGUGGCGAACGGGUGAGUAACACGUGGGAAACCUACCUCUUAGCAGGGGAUAACAUUUGGAAACAGAUGCUAAUACCGUAUAACAAUGACAACCGCAUGGUUGUUAUUUAAAAGAUGGUUCUGCUAUCACUAAGAGAUGGUCCCGCGGUGCAUUAGCUAGUUGGUAAGGUAAUGGCUUACCAAGGCGAUGAUGCAUAGCCGAGUUGAGAGACUGAUCGGCCACAAUGGGACUGAGACACGGCCCAUACUCCUACGGGAGGCAGCAGUAGGGAAUCUUCCACAAUGGGCGAAAGCCUGAUGGAGCAACGCCGCGUGUGUGAUGAAGGGUUUCGGCUCGUAAAACACUGUUGUAAGAGAAGAAUGACAUUGAGAGUAACUGUUCAAUGUGUGACGGUAUCUUACCAGAAAGGAACGGCUAAAUACGUGCCAGCAGCCGCGGUAAUACGUAUGUUCCAAGCGUUAUCCGGAUUUAUUGGGCGUAAAGCGAGCGCAGACGGUUAUUUAAGUCUGAAGUGAAAGCCCUCAGCUCAACUGAGGAAUUGCUUUGGAAACUGGAUGACUUGAGUGCAGUAGAGGAAAGUGGAACUCCAUGUGUAGCGGUGAAAUGCGUAGAUAUAUGGAAGAACACCAGUGGCGAAGGCGGCUUUCUGGACUGUAACUGACGUUGAGGCUCGAAAGUGUGGGUAGCAAACAGGAUUAGAUACCCUGGUAGUCCACACCGUAAACGAUGAGUGCUAGGUGUUUGAGGGUUUCCGCCCUUAAGUGCCGCAGCUAACGCAUUAAGCACUCCGCCUGGGGAGUACGACCGCAAGGUUGAAACUCAAAGGAAUUGACGG